AAGCUCGUAGUUGAAUUUCGGGCCCGGCUGGACGGUCCGCCCUUCGGGUGAGUACUGUCUGUGGUCGGGUCCUACCUUCUGGCGAAGCGUCAUGGCCUUAACCGGCCGUGGCGGGGAACCAGGACUUUUACUGUGAAAAAAUUAGAGUGUUCAAAGCAGGCAAUCGCUUGGAUACAUUAGCAUGGAAUAAUGGAAUAGGACAAUGGUUCUAUCUGUUGGUUUCUAGGACCGUUGUAAUGAUUAAUAGGGAUAGUUGGGGGCAUUAGUAUUCAAUUGUCAGAGGUGAAAUUCUUGGAUUUAUUGAAGACUAACUACUGCGAGAGCAUUUGCCAAGGAUGUUUUCAUUAAUCAAGAACGAAGGUUAGGGGAUCGAAGACGAUCAGAUACCGUCGUAGUCUUAACCAUAAACUAUGCCGACUAGGAAUCGGGCGAUGUUGAAAAAAUGACGCGCUCGGCACCUCAUGGGAAACCAAAGUGUUUGGGUUCCGGGGGGAGUAUGGUCGCAAGGCUGAAACUUAAAGGAAUUGACGGAAGGGCACCACCAGGGGUGGAGCCUGCGGCUUAAUUUGACUCAACACGGGAAAACUCACCAGGUCCAGACAUAGUAAGGAUUGACAGAUUGAGAGCUCUUUCUUGAUUCUAUGGGUG
rnacentral:rRNA from 1 species